UACGAAGGGGGCUAGCGUUGUUCGGAAUUACUGGGCGUAAAGCACGCGCAGGCGGCUAUCCAAGUCAGUGGUGAAAGCCCGGAGCUCAACUCCGGAACUGCCAUUGAAACUGUUUAGCUUGAGGACGAGAGAGGUGAGUGGAAUUCCCAGUGUAGAGGUGAAAUUCGUAGAUAUUCGCAAGAACACCAGUGGCGAAGGCGGCUCACUGGCCCGAUACUGACGCUGAGGCACGAAAGCGUGGGGAGCAAACAGG
rnacentral:rRNA from 1 species